rnacentral:rRNA from 1 species
AAUGACUCUCGGCAACGGAUAUCUCGGCUCUUACAUCGAUGAAGAACGUAGCAAAAUGCGAUACUUGGUGUGAAUUGCAAAAUCCCGUGAACCAUCGAGUCUUUGAACGCAAGUUGCGCCCGAAUCCAUUUGGUUGAGGGCACGUCUGCCUGGGUGUCACGUA